GCUGGGCGUAGUGAUGCAGGCCUGUAAUCCCAGUGAUUUGGGAGGUUGAGGCAGGAGGAUCUUAAGUUCAAGGGUACCCUCAGCAAAGUGAGGCCCUGAGCAACUUAGUGAGACCCUGUCUCAA
rnacentral:sRNA from 1 species